AUGUCAGGUCCACCAGUA
rnacentral:snRNA from 1 species